GAUGAACGCUGGCGGCGUGCCUAACACAUGCAAGUCGAACGGAGCGCUUUUGAUGAAGUCUUCAGGAUGGAAUCAGGAGUUGCUUAGUGGCGGAUGGGUGAGUAACGCGUGGGCAACCUGCCCUGUACUGGGGGAUAGCAGCUGGAAACGGCUGAUAAGACCGCGUAAGUCGUAGAUACCGCAUGAUAUUUACGGGAAAUGAGUAAUCAGGUACAGGAUGGACCCGCGUCCGAUUAGCCAGUUGGCAGGGUAAGAGCCUACCAAAGCGACGAUCGGUAGCCGGCCUGAGAGGACGGACGGCCACAUUGGGACUGAGACACGGCCCAAACUCCUACGGGAGGCAGCAGUGGGGAAUAUUGCACAAUGGAGGAAACUCUGAUGCAGCGACGCCGCGUGAGUGAAGAAGUAUUUCGGUAUGUAAAGCUCUAUCAGCAGGGAAGAUGAUGACGGUACCUGACUAAGAAGCCCCGGCUAACUACGUGCC
rnacentral:rRNA from 1 species